UCUGAUGGAUCUUUGGGUAUUUGUAGUGU
rnacentral:piRNA from 1 species